rnacentral:hammerhead_ribozyme from 1 species
AUCCAGAUGACGAGUCUCGAAUAGGACGAAACGCGCGUCAAACUGGAU